rnacentral:rRNA from 1 species
GACGAACGCUGGCGGCGUGCCUAACACAUGCAAGUCGAACGGGGUCCAUGGGAGCUUGCUCCCGGAAGACCUAGUGGCGAACGGGUGAGUAACGCGUGAGAAACCUGCCCUGGAGUGGGGAAUAACUCGGGGAAACUCGAGCUAAUACCGCAUACCCUCGGAUGGUCGCAUGGCCGACCGAGGAAAGAUUUAUCGCUUCAGGAGGGUCUCGCGGCCUAUCAGCUAGUUGGUGGGGUAACGGCCUACCAAGGCAACGACGGGUAGCUGGUUUGAGAGAACGAUCAGCCACACUGGGACUGAGACACGGCCCAGACUCCUACGGGAGGCAGCAGUGGGGAAUCUUGCGCAAUGGGCGAAAGCCUGACGCAGCAACGCCGCGUGCGGGAUGACGGCCUCGUGGUUGU